rnacentral:lncRNA from 1 species
CCCAACCCUUUUGUUUCAUGGUUACCAAGGCACCUUGCACAAAAGACAAUAGCAGGCUGGCCACCUCUGCCCAGCUUCCCCAGCAGCCUGCACAGUGCAUCACCACAUCUGACUGGGACAUGGACAGGAGAGAUACUGCCCUCUCUGUCCCACAGAACUGUAUUUCCAGUGGACUAACACAGAAGUCAUAG